CGGACGGGUGAGUAAUGAAUAGGAAUCUGCCUAGUAGUGGGGGACAACCUGGUGAAAACCAGGCUAAUACCGCAUACGCCCUACGGGGGAAAGUGGAGGAUCUUCGGACUUCACGCUAUUAGAUGAGCCUAUUCCUGAUUAGCUUGUUGGUAGGGUAAUGGCCUACCAAGGCAACGAUCAGUAGCUGGUCUGAGAAGACGAUCAGCCACACUGGGACUGAGACACGGCCCAG
rnacentral:rRNA from 1 species